rnacentral:tRNA from 1 species
GGAGGUGUUGCUCAGUGGUAGAGCACUUGCCUAGCAUGCACAAGGCCCUGGGUUCCAACCUCAGCACCACAA